CAGCCGCCGCGGUAAUUCGAAGGGGGCUAGCGUUGUUCGGAAUUACUGGGCGUAAAGGGCGCGUGGGCGGCUCUGAUCGUCGGAUGUGAAAGGCCUGGGCUCAACCUGGGAAUGGCAUCCGAUACGGCGGGGAUGGAGUGUGGAAGAGGUUGGUGGAAUUCCCAGUGUAGAGGUGAAAUUCGUAGAUAUUGGGAAGAACACCGGUGGCGAAGGCGGCCAACUGGACCACAACUGACGCUGAGGCGCGAAAGCGUGGGGAGCAAACAGGAUUAGAUACCCUGGUAGUCCACGCUGUAAACGAUGCGUGCUAGACGUUGGGAGACCUAGUCUCUCGGUGUCGUCGCUAACGCUUUAAGCACGCCGCCUGGGGAGUACGGCCGCAAGGUUAAAACUCAAAUGGAUUGACG
rnacentral:rRNA from 1 species